AGCAGGUCUUUGAGCUUUGUUGAGCUGAAUUUGUAUUCUUAGAAGUUGGUUUGGAAGGUGUUCUAACCAAGGCGAGAGGGUAAUUGACCCUUGGACCGUCUUCGACUAGCAUUGGAGGGCCUUUUGGAAGCUUAACUUGAGCAGGGCUGAGGCCUAGUGGAGUUGAUUUCGGAACCCUCGUAAGCUGAUUUGAGCUUAG